rnacentral:rRNA from 1 species
GAGCGGUAGAGAGAAGCUUGCUUCUCUUGAGAGCGGCGGACGGGUGAGUAAUGCCUAGGAAUCUGCCUGGUAGUGGGGAAUAACGUUCGGAAACGGACGCUAAUACCGCAUACGUCCUACGGGAGAAAGCAGGGGACCUUCGGGCCUUGCGCUAUCAGAUGAGCCUAGGUCGGAUUAGCUAGUUGGUGGGGUAAUGGCUCACCAAGGCGACGAUCCGUAACUGGUCUGAGAGGAUGAUCAGUCACACUGGAACUGAGACACGGUCCAGACUCCUACGGGAGGCAGCAGUGGGGAAUAUUGGACAAUGGGCGAAAGCCUGAUCCAGCCAUGCCGCGUGUGUGAAGAAGGUCUUCGGAUUGUAAAGCACUUUAAGUUGGGAGGAAGGGUUGUAGAUUAAUACUCUGCAAUUUUGACGUUACCGACAGAAUAAGCACCGGCUAACUCUGUG